rnacentral:rRNA from 1 species
AGCUCCAAUAGCGUAUACUAAUGUUGUUGCAGUUAAAAGCUCGUAGUCGGAUUUCAGCUAGUUGUAUGUGAUCAUUCUUAGAGAUCAUACAAUCAGUUUUUUGAUGCGAAACUUCAUCUGAUUAAUUUCCGGUGUGUGUCUAGCAUCUCUUUUACUUUGAGAAAAUUAGAGUGUUCAAAGCAGGUUUUUGCCUGAAUAUUACUCUUGGAAUAAUUUUAUAGGACUUUGGUCUAAUGUUGUUGGUGUUGUUGGACCGGAGUAAUGAUUGAUAGGGACGGUUGGGGUGAUUCAUU